AGAGUUUGAUCCUGGCUCAGAUUGAACGCUGGCGGAAUGCUUUACACAUGCAAGUCGAACGGCAGCACGGGAGCUUGCUCCUGGUGGCGAGUGGCGAACGGGUGAGUAAUGCGCCGGAACGUACCGAGUAAUGGGGGAUAACGCGGCGAAAGUCGCGCUAAUACCGCAUACGCCCUGAGGGGGAAAGCGGGGGAUCGCAAGACCUCGCGUUAUUCGAGCGGCCGACGUCUGAUUAGCUAGUUGGUGGGGUAAAGGCUCACCAAGGCGACGAUCAGUAGCGGGUCUGAGAGGAUGAUCCGCCACACUGGGACUGAGACACGGCCCAGACUCCUACGGGAGGCAGCAGUGGGGAAUUUUGGACAAUGGGGGCAACCCUGAUCCAGCCAUUCCGCGUGAGUGAAGAAGGCCUUCGGGUUGUAAAGCUCUUUCAGCUGGAGCGAAACGGUACGCUCUAACAUAGCGUGCUACUGACGGUACCAGCAGAAGAAGCACCGGCUAACUACGUGCCAGCAGCCGCGGUAAUACGUAGGGUGCGAGCGUUAAUCGGAAUUACUGGGCGUAAAGCGUGCGCAGGCGGAUUGUUAAGCAAGACGUGAAAUCCCCGGGCUUAACCUGGGAAUGGCGUUUUGAACUGGCAGUCUAGAGUGCGUCAGAGGGGGGUGGAAUUCCACGUGUAGCAGUGAAAUGCGUAGAGAUGUGGAGGAACACCGAUGGCGAAGGCAGCCCCCUGGGAUGACACUGACGCUCAUGUACGAAAGCGUGGGUAGCAAACAGGAUUAGAUACCCUGGUAGUCCACGCC
rnacentral:rRNA from 1 species